rnacentral:misc_RNA from 1 species
GAUGAAGAACGUAGCGAAAUGCGAUAAGUAAUGUGAAUUGCAGAAUUCAGUAAAUCAUCGAAUCUUUGAACGCACCUUGCGCCCUUUGGCUAUUCCGAAGGGCAUGCCUGUUUGAGUAUCAUGAACACCUCAACCCUCAUGGUUUGCCAUGACGGGCUUGGACUUUGGGGGUCUUGCUGGAUUGUAGUCAGCUCUCCUUAAACAAAUCAGCUUGCCAGUGUUUGGUGGCAUCACAGGUGUGAUAACUAUCUACGCUUGUGGUUUUACAUCAGAUAACCUUCAGUGAUGGAGGUUCACUGGAGCUCAUAAAGGUGUCUCUCCUCUGUGAGGACAGCUCUUUGAAUGUUUGAUCUCAAAUCAGGCAGGACUACCCGCUGAACUUAAGCAUAUCAAUAAGCGGAGGA